rnacentral:tRNA from 1 species
GGUGGAGUGUCCGAGAGGCCGAAGGUGCAGCACUCGAAAUGCUGUGUGGUCAAUAGCCACCGUGGGUUCAAAUCCCACCUCCACCGCCA